UUUGUGCAUGUUGCAGUCAAGGCAUCAGUUCAUUGCUUCCUACUCACUUUUGAGAGAAGCAAAGGAGAAGAAAUGUCUUCUCCUUCCCACUGCCUGCAGCCUGAUCCGUGCUGCAGCAGUCAGUAGCUUCCUUACCUGAGAGGAAGAUUAAAUGUUUGCACCAUCAACACAUUUAGCUGUAAUUAUGAACGCCGGGGGCCUUUUGUCUCUUGAAUCAUCCCCUGCCAGGCCCUGUGCCUCUGAUGCCUUUAUCACAGUGGGGUCAAACAAGUAACCAUCAUGACGAGCAGAGAAGAAGAUAACAGUUGCAUUCAUUCUACAUUAAGUUAUAUUUAUUAGGGAUGUCAGGGCCCAAAACACUCUAGGUUUAAUUACUUCACGCAGGAAUAUGCAUCACUCUCUCUCUUUGCUCUCCUUUCUCCUCUCAGCAUUGGUUAAAUUAGUUUGCUGCACAUGUGUUAUUUCAGCCAGGUUUCUGUGAACUUCUCGCUGGGAUCAACUGUUCACCACCAUGAUUAGGGCUGUCAGUUUCACUACCUCUGAGCAAAUCGGAAGAGGAGGAUGACCGACACAAAAGGCCAUUGCCUGUCAGCUCCUACAGAUCCGGUACCAGAUAUAGGCAGUGGAACCGUGACCAACCCUAGGAUUCUGUGUCAGAUCAGCUACCAAACCUGCACCCUCACCCUUGCACGAUGUGGUGUGGUAACACAAGCAGCACCCAUUGCUUGGCCUGGCUAGCUAGCUACCACUGGGGCACUCGGAGUUCCAACGGGGAAUGGUCUGCUUGGUUCCCAAAACCCUUGGGUGCUACUAAAUCUCUCUCACGGGGGAGAGAGAGAGAUGCCAUUAGUGGUCUCCUCUCUUGGUCCUGUACCACCAGCCUUCACAGAUUUCCUGUGCAUAUCGAGUGGAGAGCCCCUAUGCUCCAACACCCAGGAAAUCAAAGAAGGACAGAGAGAUCAAACCCACGAACCUGCAUCGUGGGAGCUCCAAGACGGAACCCUGCACAAGCUAACCCAGAUCAUUCAUUCAGAACAAAGGUGAUACAGUGACACGGGAAGCCACCGUUCGUGAACAGAUCAUA